rnacentral:misc_RNA from 1 species
AAGUCGUAACAAGGUUUCCGUAGGUGAACCUGCGGAAGGAUCAUUAACACGUAUCCAAACGUUAAAACCCCCCCCGUGAACCUUUAUGAGUGCGCACCGUCGGGUAUCCCGAGUCGUAGUGUAUGGUAAAUCAUGGGUAGAGUUGGGGUUCUCUCAACAGGCUACAUUAUUGAUUCAAUGAAAGUGUCAUUUAUUGUGUAAGCCGGCGCGUAAGCGUGCACUGGAGGCCAUCACGGCCAGUGACUGUUUCGGCCCUGCGUGGGCUCCUACCACAUUAAUUUUACCUCGGUGGUGCGAGGGCCAAGUGGCCUGCCGCACCGAACGCACAACUGUUAACAAUGGAUAUCUUGGUUCUC